UGGGAAACCUGCCCAGAAGCGGGGGAUAACACCUGGAAACAGAUGCUAAUACCGCAUAACAACUUGGACCGCAUGGUCCGAGUUUGAAAGAUGGCUUCGGCUAUCACUUUUGGAUGGUCCCGCGGCGUAUUAGCUAGAUGGUGGGGUAACGGCUCACCAUGGCAAUGAUACGUAGCCGACCUGAGAGGGUAAUCGGCCACAUUGGGACUGAGACACGGCCCAAACUCCUACGGGAGGCAGCAGUAGGGAAUCUUCCACAAUGGACGAAAGUCUGAUGGAGCAACGCCGCGUGAGUGAAGAAGGGUUUCGGCUCGUAAAACUCUGUUGUUAAAGAAGAACAUAUCUGAGAGUAACUGUUCAGGUAUUGACGGUAUUUAACCAGAAAGCCACGGCUAACUACGUGCCAGCAGCCGCGGUAAUACGUAGGUGGCAAGCGUUGUCCGGAUUUAUUGGGCGUAAAGCGAGCGCAGGCGGUUUUUUAAGUCUGAUGUGAAAGCCUUCGGCUCAACCGAAGAAGUGCAUCGGAAACUGGGAAACUUGAGUGCAGAAGAGGACAGUGGAACUCCAUGUGUAGCGGUGAAAUGCGUAGAUAUAUGGAAGAACACCAGUGGCGAAGGCGGCUGUCUGGUCUGUAACUGACGCUGAGGCUCGAAAGUAUGGGUAGCAAACAGGAUUAGAUACCCUGGUAGUCCAUACCGUAAACGAUGAAUGCUAAGUGUUGGAGGGUUUCCGCCCUUCAGUGCUGCAGCUAACGCAUUAAGCAUUCCGCCUGGGGAGUACGGCCGCAAGGCUGAAACUCAAAGGAAUUGACGGGGGCCCGCACAAGCGGUGGAGCAUGUGGUUUAAUUCGAAGCUACGCGAAGAACCUUACCAGGUCUUGACAUACUAUGCAAAUCUAAGAGAUUAGACGUUCCCUUCGGGGACAUGGAUACAGGUGGUGCAUGGUUGUCGUCAGCUCGUGUCGUGAGAUGUUGGGUUAAGUCCCGCAACGAGCGCAACCCUUAUUAUCAGUUGCCAGCAUUAAGUUGGGCACUCUGGUGAGACUGCCGGUGACAAACCGGAGGAAGGUGGGGAUGACGUCAAAUCAUCAUGCCCCUUAUGACCUGGGCUACACACGUGCUACAAUGGAUGGUACAACGAGUUGCGAACUCGCGAGAGUAAGCUAAUCUCUUAAAGCCAUUCUCAGUUCGGAUUGUAGGCUGCAACUCGCCUACAUGAAGUCGGAAUCGCUAGUAAUCGCGGAUCAGCAUGCCGCGGUGAAUACGUUCCCGGGCCUUGUACACACCGCCCGUC
rnacentral:rRNA from 1 species